AACGAACGCUGGCGGCGUGCCUAACACAUGCAAGUCGAACGAGAAAGGGGCUUCGGCCCUGAGUAAAGUGGCGCACGGGUGAGUAACACGUGGGUAACCUGCCUCUAAGAUCGGGACAACAUGUCGAAAGACGUGCUAAUACCGGAUAAGACCACGGUCCCCUCGGGGACAGAGGUCAAAGGUAGCCUCUGCAUGCAAGCUAUCGCUUAGAGAUGGGCCCGCGCACCAUUAGCUAGUUGGUAGGGUAACGGCCUACCAAGGCAAAGAUGGUUAGCUGGUCUGAGAGGAUGAUCAGCCACACUGGAACUGAGACACGGUCCAGACUCCUACGGGUGGCUG
rnacentral:rRNA from 1 species